AGUUGGUGAGUGGGAUGUGCUUUGAAGACAUUUGGAGGCAGAUAUUUAAACUGGGCUGCUGAAACCCUGGACCAUCAUUCUCUCCCCCUGCACACGGUGUUCACGGUAAGAGCAGGAGAGAACCAGCUCCAGGAUGAUUGCUGUGCUGCUGCUGGUGUUUGGACUGACCCCUGCCUGCAUAUUUCCUGUCAGUGCUGACAUCCCUGUGUACCCAAACUUUGACCCCCAAAAGGUAAGACAUUUACAGAUGGGACUUGCAACCUGUGGAAAUGAGUGAUGUUUCCCCUUUCCCCUCUGACCUUGCUUCUCUUAGGACUCUGGAUAGGACACCUGAGCAGCUUUGCUCUUGAGUAAAUAAUAAUAAUAAUAAUAAUAAUAAUAAUAAUACCCUGCCCACUCUGACCAAGGACUGGGCUCAGAGCGGCUAACAACAAGAAUAUAAAACAUUAAUAUAAUAUCAGGCAGGGAAUAAAAAUAUUCUAAAAUCAAUGAGCUAGAGUAAAUCCAAUCAGAUGGCAAAUGGCAGAUUAGGGUUGUUGAUCUUGAAUGCUCACAGUAAAGGCCCUGUUGCUUUUGGGUCCCCCUUCUCCUCUCGCCCAAGCCCACAAACUUGGCUAUCAGCAGAUUAAUGGCUUUCUGAUUUUGAUUUGUGCUUCUAGCUCUGGUAGGAAAAUUACAGAGAUGAGGUGGGUUGCUUUAUAUCAGGCACGUCCAACUCCCCAGAGACUGCAAUGUACUCCCAGGAUAAAAUAACUGGCACUAAUCUAUGCAUUGUCAUUGGAGGGAGGAGGAGUGUGUGGGUUCGGGGGGGGGGGGAUGACAAAAAAUGCACAACAGAAAGUGCAGCACUGAAAACUGAAUGCAGUGCUACAACCAACAUUACUUUCGCAGUCAACCGACUGGACGUUACUAUUUUAUAUAUUUAAACCUAUCACCUUUCGUUGCCCCCUAAAAUGUCAAUCAAAAUUCUUCUGUUUUAGGCUGUCGGGAAGUGGCACCCCAUCGGGAUGGCUUCCAAGUUGUCUGAGUUGAAUGAGCAUGAUCAGAAAAUAUCACCGAUGGACCAAACGGUGAAGGUUUCGGAUGGAGAUAUGACAAUCACCGCUAAUUAUAUGUCGUUAGUACCUUACAACUGAUACCUCUCCUCCCAUCAUGCAUAGGCUGGGGAUUGAACCGGGGUCCUUGUGCAUGCAAAGCAGGUGCUCUGCCACUGAGCCACAGCCCUGAUUUCCCCUGAAAUCGUUUUCAGAUGCUUUGGAAAGGGCAUAAAGUUUCUGGCACUGCCAGUCAGUGUAGACAAUAUUGAGCUGGAUGGAGCAAUGUCCAGAUUUUGUACAGAGCUGCUGCUUAGGGAAGACCACAUGUUUCCCAUCCCAUAUUAUCUCUCUCUUUUUUGUGUGUGUCUUGUUUUAUCUUAAUAUAUCAUAACGAGCCACUUAGGUUGGGCAUAGUGAUAUAAAUAAAACAUAGCUGGAAUGCCAAUGGAGACAUUGAGUAAUCCUGUGGAAACCAUUUGAUAAUGUAGAGGCCUCCAAAAAGGCCUGUUCAUUUUGAAGGCAUUGAUAGCAACAGGGUGCCGUUCCUCUUGACACUCUGGCUAUCCCUCCCUCUGGUAAAGUCUAAGGCAUCUUACUGGUAAUGUAUUCUUCCAUCAGCGGCUCUGACACCCUAAAAAAUACAUGUGGGGGAAGCAAGGCAGAAGCAGGCUGGGUAUCUGGUUUUGAAGUGCUUUCACUUAGCUCUCUUUUCCAGGGAUGGUGUCUGCAAACAAUCAGCUAUUGUGUUAAAGCACACUGACAAACCUGGUGUAUUCGAAUUUCCUGGUAAAUAUGACUACCAUGAGCCACCCUAUUACCUGAUGACAAAGUAUGUUUUGUGAUUGGAAGAUCCAGAUGCUGUGAUUUGGGCAAAUGGUCAAACAUCUGUUCUUUUUCCCAUUUACAUUCUUUCUUUUGAGUGCAAAAUCGAGUUAUGAGGGGGAGAGCAGUGCAAUCACCCACCCACCAAUAAGGUUGCUUAUUUUAGGAAAUACAUAACUUGCCUAGAAAAGGGCCAGUGCUUUUUUCUGGGGGGGACACAGGGGUACGCAUACCCUUAAACAUUUUGUCAAUCUAAGUUUGGCCUCAUUGAGGAGCAGUAUUUCAAUAUGAGUGGGAAUAUGAGAGGACCCCUAAACUUUUUUUGGAAAGAAAGCACUGGGUCUUGCUAAACCUAGGUAGCCUAGAGAAAACAAAGGCAGCCAUGCUUGCUCCAUAGUUCUUUCGGAAGAUCGUUCCAAGCUGACCUCUCAUCUUGAGAUUCAAGAGAGAAGUGAGAGGAGGAGGAGGAGGCUGUAAAGAGGAUGCAGCAUAAGACUAUCAGUCUAAAUAACAAAGAGAUAGGAAGGGCAAAUGAGGAGUUAAAGGUACGUAACAGUCUGGUUAUGUGGAAGUCCUUUACCUCGUUGCAAACCCUUCUUUUGCAAGCUGAUUUUCCCUCAGUUUAAACAAAACAUAUAAAUAUUUUUAAAUCUCCAUCUGCGUUUUGUGAUCUGAGAGCAAAAGAGCAGUAUAUGAAGGUUGCUAAAAGAGACAUCACAGUACAGUGGUACCUCGGGUUAAGAACUUAAUUCGUUCGGGAGGUCUGUUCUUAACCUGAAACUGUUCUUAACCUGAGGUACCACCUUAGCUAAUGGGGUCUCCUGCUCCCGUCGCACCUCUGCCACGUGAUUUCUGUUCUCAUCCUGAAGCAAAGUUCUUGACCCGAUGUACUAUUUCUGUGUUAGUGGAGUCUGUAACCUGAAGCAUCUGUAACCUGAGGUACCGCUGUAACAGGAAACUGCCAAAAACUAUUUGUCCGUUUGCCUGAGUUUGACCCACUCAGACUGACGGUGGCUCUUUCCAUCCCAGUGUCAGAAGUCUCUUUCCAUCCCAGUGACAGAAGUCUCUUUCCAUCCCAGUGACAGGAUCCUUUUAAGUUGCACAACAUCAGGAAUUGAACCAGGGCAUUCCACAUGCAAAGGAAGUGAUUUACCCCCUGAGUUAUGGUUCAUAGCCGAUGGUUAAACCAAUGCCUCCACUUCCCAACUUAGGAGGAUAUGAUUUGCCUUGUUGCCAUCCAAAAUUAAUCUUGGGCUUUUCAAAAUGGAAGACUCCUGCUUUCUCUUUUGAUCUCUCCUCUGCUUAACCAGGAGGAACUUGAGUGUUUCACUCAAGGCUGCACAAGGGAGUUCUGGGUUACAGCUGGGAUCUGUGCUCUCAGACCUGGGGAGCAGUCUUUGCUUCUUUAUCGCAGAAUCCCUGGCAGCCAGACAACUGAUGUUCAUAGUACUGGGAAGAGACUCUGUCACCCUACAAUCUUUAUCUUGCAACUGAUCCUUUAAGCUGCCCUCAUAUAUAUCAUCAUAUAUAUCAUCAUAUAUAUCAUGCCCUCAUAUAUAUCAUCCCAGUCUGAUUGGUUUUUUGGGUGGGUGGGUGAAUUAAUCAUUAUUUUGGUAAUAUUGUGCUCGAUGAAGAGUGCUGGAGAACUUAAAAGUUGGCCAGUCUUUCCUGACACUAGGAUUGGCUGAAAUAAAUGUAAUGCUCACCUAGAGGGUUUUAUUAUUUUUGAAAUGGACACAAUAUGUCCCGGGGUGCCGUUUGCACACCGAAAAGUCCGCAACUAGAGCGGUGCUUCUGUGCAAGCAUGGAGUGCACACGGCCAUUCUGCGCAUGUGCGAAGCGUGCAGAAUGCAUCUGCAACAUGAAGCGAACGCAACAUGAAGCGAACGCAACUAGAGGUAUGACUGUAUUGAGAAAGAGGCAGGAGGGGGUGUCCUUCCUCAAAGCAAGGCCUUCUGGGGAAGGGGUUGAGAGAGUGUCCACAUAAUCAUAUAUUUCCUAUGGUAACUAGUCAACAUUUACAUUUAACUUUAGAUUUUCAGCAUAGUACUUGCAGCCUUGGCUACACAAACACCUUCCUUUUAGGAAGGACGCCCUUUUCUCUGACUCAAGAGCUAAGGGGAGUCUGCCAUGCCUAACACCAUGGCUAAAAGAGGGGGAAAGUAAGACAGGCAGCAAGAUGAAAUGUGUGGGGGUGAAGGAAUGGUGGUUCCCACUGCCUGCUUUAGGGAGGGCAAUCUGUGGCAGUGGACCUGGGCAGGACACUUAUUAAGUCAUGGAGAUUCACCUCCCUUAAAAUUCUGAAGACAUAUUAAUGAGAGGGUGGGAGAAAGAAUGAAUAAUUAAGGUGACUAAGAGUGGCUGAUCCCAAUUUGCCUGCCCCCCCUCCACUAACAGCAAAGAAAUGAGGAACCCGCUUCCUUCAGUUGAUAUCUUGUGUUGUUUCCUGUAUAGAUGGUAUUGCCCACUUGAUGGAUAUUGAUUAUGAAAAGUAUGUUAUUUUGCACAAGAAGAAAUUAGAACAUGAAGCUAUAUAUCUGUCUGGUAUGUGUUAUGGCAAUGGAUUUUAUUUUUAUUUAUUAAAUACAGCUCUUCACCCAUAGAUCUCAGAGCAGUUCACAACAUAAAACAAACAAACCAAUAACCCUCACUCCACCCUGUGGCAUAUCUGUGGUUCAGCAAAAAGGAUGCUAGUUAGUUAGUUAGUGUUGCUCUUUUUCAACUCACUCUUCAGCCACAAACAAGUUACAAAUCUCUCUCUCUCUCUCUCUCUCUCUCUCUCUCACACACACACACACACACACACACGCCCUAAAAGUCACAAAAGGAGAAUGGGUUGGGAGGAGAGGAAAGAAGCAAGCUCAGUUUCAAGUUCUGAGUUUCCAGUUUUUCUGUGGACCAGCCAGAGCAGGAAAAGUUCAAAGGAAGGAGGCAGAGCCAGUGCUGCUCCUCACUCUGCUGUGCUGAAGGAAUUGGCCCUGCCCUGCCUUUUCCUCCUGUAGUACAGUUUGGUGGCUGGUGGAAGGUUUUGCCUAAAACAUCUGGAAGGCAUCCAUUUAUGGAAGGAUACCCUAAGUUCUGUUCAAUCCAAUUACGGCUCUAGUUAACAUACAAAAAUAGAAUAUAAAAUUAUUGAAUAUCUUUAUCUAUACUUAUCUGGAUAAUUUCUACACCCCCCUUUUUUUUGCUGUCAACAGUCACCUAUACUGUACAGAGUUAAAAAGAAGGAGGAAAACCUAUUUAAAAUCUUGACUACAAUAAUCUUCUAGAAUAAAAAGUGGCCAAUGGAAUAAUCAACGCUUCCCAUGGUGAAGGAAUAUCUUUUUUGGAAAAGGGGGUUGAACCCUAAAGAAUGGCCACUUUAGCACUUCACAAUGAUCCAGCAGAAAGAGCAGCUACCAUAAAGCCUCCCACUAGCAAAUAGGGACAGUCAGCACCUGUGUAGGCUUUCAGUUCCUUUAGAUCAGGCAUGGCCAAACAUGGCCCUCCAGAUGUUUUAGGACUACAACUCCCAUCAUCCCUAGCUAGCAGGACCAGUGGUCAUGGAUGAUGGGAAUUGUAGCCCCAAAACCUCUAGAGGGCCAGGUUUGGCCAAGCUUGCUUAGAUCCUCUUCUCUGGUUUCAUGGGGGUUCUGUUCCUGACUGUCUAAUGGACAAUCCAGAGAAGAUGGCAAGAAUAAGAGACUUUGGGUGCUCUAUAGACAUAAAACAGAUAUUUCAGCCUUUCUGAGAACAACAAUUUACUCAGCCUUUGCUUGUGUUUAAAGCUAGGGGAUCGGAAGUGGGAGAUGACAUCAAAGAAAAAUUCAAGAAGUUAGUUUUGGCGCAAAACUUUCCUGAGGCACACAUCAAAUACUUUGGGAACGUCGGUAAGGCAACCUGAUCUCAAUAUUUUUUUGUUGUAGAUGUGUAUGAAUGUCUCUGUGUGAAACAGAAUCUGAGGAGCUAUAUUUAGUCUCAGAGAGAUUCACAAAUCUAGAUCACCACUACAGUUUGAGUACAGUGGUACCUCGUUUGCUGAAUGCUUCAGAAGUUGAACAUUUUGGUUUUCGCCGGAAACCUGGAAAUGAAUGCUUCCGAUUUGAAUGCACCUCGGAAGUCGAACGGCUACUGAAGCUCAUUUCUCAAUUGUCUCAAUUGAAUUUGCUGACUGCCCAUUGUGCCUUGGUUGUCGAAAGUUUCAGAAGUCGAAUGGUCUUCUGGAACAGAUUACGUUCGACAACUGAGGUACCACUGUAGUUAAAUCACUGAAAUUAACUGAGGUCUGAUUUCCAUGCUUAAUCAUAAUUAAAGCACCUGAAGCUAUCAGGAAUUGAGUGGGGGGUAGAUUUGCUAAGGGCAGCAGACAAUUUGGACCUAGCUGUGGGAAUGGAUAGGAAGGAGUUUGUUCUACAUCCCUCAGCUGGGGUGGUGUGUGUGGUGGGACUCCAGCAAUUCUGGCUCCUGGGCAGGGUCUGGCUGGAGACCAGCUGAGGGACGCGGGUGGCGCUGUGGUCUAAACCGCUGAGCCUCUUGGGCUUGCCAAUCAGAAGGCAGGCAGUUCGAAUCCCUGCAACGGGCUGAGGUCCAGUUGUUCUGUCCGAGCUCCUGCCAAUCUAGCAUUUCGAAAGCAUGCCAGUUCAAUUAGAUAAAUAGGUACCGCUGUGGUGGGAAGGUGAAUGGCAUUUCCAUGAUCUCUGCCUUCAUCAUUGUGUUCCGUUGCACCAGAAGCUGAAGGCAGCCCUGUUUAGGGAAGCUUUUAAUGUUUAAUAGACUAUUGUAUUUUAAUAUUCUGUUAGAAGCCACCCAGAGUGGCUGGGAAACCCAGCCAGAUGGGUGGGGCAUAAAUAAUAUAUUAUGAUUAAUAUUAUUAUUAUUAUUUAGUCAUGCUGGCCACAUGACCCGGAAAGAUGUCUGUGGACAAAUGCCGGCUCCCUCAGCCUGAAGCAAGAUGAGCACCACAACCCCACAGUCACCUUUGACUGGAUUUAACUGUCCAGGGUCCUUUACCUUUACCUUUUUACCUAGUUCCCAGCUCAAAUGAUGAUGGCCUGGUUAGGACUAGCAACUCUGUCUUCGGCUGCCUUAUGGGGCUCAGAUUCCAGUUAAUUAGAAUUAAAGUAGCUUCAGACCCAGCUGCAAGGAGGCAGCUUCCACUUGGCUGGAGACUGGGAAAAACCCAGUCCAAAAGUUAUGCAUGAAAUGCUGGCCUAGGUGGCUAUCGUAUUUGAAGGUUCAUAUUCCCCCAAAGACCUUAGUGAGGACUCGUCCUUCCUGGCCACAUAUCAAAACAUUUUCUUGCUGCUGUCAGUAUACUUGGCUGCUUCUGCUCUUUGGUUUUUACACCUCUGUAUUGUUUAUUUUAUCUGCUCUUCUUUCAUUGGCAUAAAUUUUUAUAGGCUCUGUUUCCCACCCCCAAAAUUUCUGCAUUUGUUAACUGUGUUGAGUGGCUCAGUUUUGAACUAGAAUGGUGAGAUACACAUGUUCCUCACAGUGGCUGACCCAUUGAGGCAAAUAGGACACGGUCCCACCAGCCUUAGUCUGCCUCUAGGGAGUCUUCACAUGCCCACCUUCUUACUGACCACCAGCCAAGGAGUGGAACUCCUUGAGUGCUUCCUCCUUCAUCUCAGUGUUGCCCCUGUAGAACUCAGUAGGUGGGGGCCUCUCAUUGGCUGUGGUUGCAGCUGUCAUUUGCUCUGGCUCCAUCUGCUGUUGGCCUCCCUGCCUCCCAUGCCACCAAUCCCAAUGGGCAUCAUCGGCAACUGAUUCCAAAUAAAGAAAUACAUAUGAGUUGCUCACAUUUUCUUCCUCCUUACCACUUUCCCUGACACUCUUCUCUUCCUUUCUCCCACAGAACAAUGCACUCCAAAAGCUGCUUAAUAACCAGAUACAGCAUUUCUCCAUAUAUAUUUGCAGCAUUGGUUAAUAAUCAGAAACACCCAAUAAUCAUUACUCUUUCUGGAUGGUGGAGAUGAUGAUGACUACGGAUAAAUGCCUCUAGCCACUCACCACAUUUCUGGCUUGUAGAAAUGGAUGCAAGUAGAACAACAAUGUCUUUGGGUUCCUCUCUCUCCUGAAACUAUUUUUAAAAUAAAUACAUUGCUUAGAUCUUGCA